ACGGGUGAGUAACGCGUGGGUAACCUGCCCUGUACAGGGGGAUAACAGUCAGAAAUGACUGCUAAUACCGCAUAAGCGCACAGAGCUGCAUGGCUCAGUGUGAAAAACUCCGGUGGUAUAAGAUGGACCCGCGUUGGAUUAGCUGGUUGGUGGGGUAACGGCCCACCAAGGCGACGAUCCAUAGCCGGCCUGAGAGGGUGAACGGCCACAUUGGGACUGAGACACGGCCCAGACUCCUACGGGAGGCAGCAUG
rnacentral:rRNA from 1 species